AUUGAACGCUGGCGGCAGGCCUAACACAUGCAAGUCGAGCGAGCGGCGGACGGGUGAGUAAUGUAUGAGGAUCUGCCUGAUGGAGGGGGAUAACUACUGGAAACGGUAGAUAAUACCGCAAACCAGCAUAUGACCCCAUAUGGUAUUAGCUUGUAGGUGAGGUAACGGCUCACCUAGGAGACGAUCCCUAGCUGGUCUGAGAGGAUGAUCAGCCACACUGGGACGGAGACACGGCCCAGACUCCUACGGGAGGCAGCAGUGGGGAAUAUUGCACAAUGGGCGCAAGCCUGAUGCAGCCAUGCCGCGUGUAUGAAGAAGGCCUUCGGGUUGUAAAGUACUUUCAGUCGGGAGGCGUUACCGACAGAAGAAGCACCGGCUAACUCCGUGCCAGCAGCCGCGGUAAUAC
rnacentral:rRNA from 1 species